GCAGGAAAGACUCAACUAUGU
rnacentral:miRNA from 2 species